AUUGAACGCUGGCGGCAUGCCUUACACAUGCAAGUCGAACGUGAAAGGGGGCAACCCCCGAGUAGAGUGGCGGACGGGUGAGUAACACAUCGGAACGUACCCCAGUAGUGGGGGACAACCUCGAGAAAUCGAGGCUAAUACCGCAUACGACCCACGGGUGAAAGCGGGGGACCGCAAGGCCUCGCGCUAAUUGGAGCGGCCGAUGUCCGAUUAGCCUUGUCGGCGGGGUAAGAGCCCACCAAGGCGACGAUCGGUAGCUGGUCUGAGAGGAUGAUCAGCCACACUGGGACUGAGACACGGCCCA
rnacentral:rRNA from 1 species